GAGACCAAUUUGGCCUGGGGAGAACCGCCUUCAGGCGUUUGGACUCAGUGGAGGUUGUGAGUGCCCAGCAGUGUGGCCUGAAUCUCCGUGGGGUUUAGGGAGACGAAAGGACCCCAGAUCGACGUCCCCUCGUUCCCACUUUGGGGAUCGGCGCUCUGGCUGUUUCGUGAAGGAGAGAGAGGUUGAUUCCAUACCCUGGCUAUUGUGAAUAAUGCUGCAGUGAACAUGGGAGUACAUACAUCUGUUUGAGGAACUCAGAGUGGUUUUCCAGAUGGGAAUCACAUUGCUCUCUGUCCCUGAGAUCUUGCUGGAGACAGGGCUACUCAGUCCCUCUUUGCCAGAUUGAUACUGGAAAAGCAGUUUCUAUUGAGCCCCCAAAUGAAGAGUGAGUGCAGAUGAAGAGGAGGCAGGACUCACAAGCCCUUGAACUUUAUUCCAGAUCUGUUAGCACCUACAGGACCCUGCACCAGGAUUUCAUCUGUACUAUCAGCUUCUUCAAAGAGAGAGAGGUUGUUGAAUUGAUAUUGGAAAAGCAGUUUCCCAUUGAGUCUCAAAUGAAGAGAGUGCAGAUGAAGAGGAGCUCUUCAUGUGGAUGUCUGAGCUCAUAUCAGGUGUCUGAAAGAGGCAGAUUCUGAGGAUUUGGGUCAUGAUGGCUGCCAAAGCUUCUACUCCUGACUUAAAGGGCAACAAUCCUAGGAGACCACCAGCACUUACAUCCCUGGUAGGACAUGACACCUGCUUAUGGCUCAGAAGUGACAAAAGAGAAUUAUCAGGAUGGCAGUCCUUAUAACCAGAUGCUUAUCAACAUUCUUCACUACAUUCUGAAGAUGAAUUUCUACAAGGGAAAUUGUUUAUAUUUGUUGUUGGGGAUAGAUAAGGAAAGAAGAAAAAGGCUCUGGUGAGAAACCCAUUGUACCUUCUGGAUAUGAUCACUACCCAAUUUUAUCAGUGUCAUUGAUCACUAACCCAGUGCCUCGUAUGGUGCCAGGCACAGAGUUACUCCAAGAAUGUACAAUAAUGGCUGGAUUCUCUUUCUCCCUGUGCAACUCUUCAUGCAUGUGACUGAACUUAUAUUAAGUGUCUGAAGGAGGUUCGUUCUGAGGAUCUGGGACAUGAUGGGUGCUGAAGCUUCUACUCAAGAUUUGAAGGGCAGCUGUCCUCAGGAGACCCCUGGCACUUCCCUCCAUGGUGGGAUGUGAUGCCUGAUUCCAGUGAGUUCAUAGAGCUGAACAAAAGUACGUUGUGGAAUAGCUCCUGUGAGGUUCACAACAUAGUCCGGAAGAUGAGAAACUACUUUUUUUAGUAACCUGGAUUCCCAUCUAAGAGAUGCCUUACUUUAUCGUAAAGCAAUGAGUUGUUCACUUGAGGAGGGAACUUCAUGUUUAACAUGUAUUUGCAACAAAUUUACAUACAUUUUCUGCCUGUAUGAAUAGUUGUCAGUGAUGCCCAUGAAUUUCUCAGAUGGAUGUUGAAGUAUACAGUUAGAAGGUUAGAAGAUCUUCCUAGCAAUCUGUGAUUACGGUAUGCAUUCUUCCAUGGUUUCUACGUUUUUGUCUAUUCUAUAAUGAAAUUUUCUAAGAAGCCAGAAAUUAAUUAAGUGCUACCUAAAAAUAUCAAAAUGUCAGGUACAAGAAUUUGGCAUUUUCAAAAUUAGUAAUUACAAUGUAAGUUUGCCCUAUUAUAAUGAUACCCAGCUAUGUCCAGUAACAUAACUAGAUUGUUCUGAAUACCGUUAUUAUUUCCCAAUAAUACAAACAUCACAAUUUCAGUUCUGUAGUACCUGGCCUACCUACCCUUCCCACUGCCUUGCCCCAGGUAAACACAGCAUGCCUGUCACUAUACAUUAUUUUACAUGCCUGGAAAUAUAUUUAAAUGGAAUCAUAGAGGUGGUUUCUUUUUUUUUUUUUUAUCAACACCUGGCUUUUUUCAUUCACUCCACUUAUUUUUAUAUUUAUCCAUUUUAUUGCAUUUAUCUAUUGAUAUACUUCAUUCUUUUUGAUUGCUAAAUACUAUUGCGGUAUACAACCACACUAAACAUUUUAUUAUCCAUCCAUUUGUCGAUGGACAUUUUGGUUGUUUCUCAUUUGGGGCUCUUGUAAAUAAAGCUGCUAUGAACAUU
rnacentral:lncRNA from 1 species